rnacentral:rRNA from 1 species
UUAAGCGACUAAGCGUACACGGUGGAUGCCCUGGCAGUCAGAGGCGAUGAAGGACGUGCUAAUCUGCGAAAAGCGUCGGUAAGGUGAUAUGAACCGUUAUAGCCGGCGAUGUCCGAAUGGGGAAACCCAGUGUGAUUCGUCACACUAUCGUUAACUGAAUACAUAGGUUAACGAGGCGAACCGGGGGAACUGAAACAUCUAAGUACCCCGAGGAAAAGAAAUCAACCGAGAUUCCCCCAGUAGCGGCGAGCGAACGGGGAGCAGCCCAGAGUCUGAAUCAGCUUGUGUGUUAGUGGAACGGUCUGGAAAGUCCGACGGUACAGGGUGAUAGUCCCGUACACCAAAAUGCACAGGCUGUGAACUCGAAGAGUAGGGCGGGACACGUGGUAUCCUGUCUGAAUAUGGGGGGACCAUCCUCCAAGGCUAAAUACUCCUGACUGACCGAUAGUGAACCAGUACCGUGAGGGAAAGGCGAAAAGAACCCCGGCGAGGGGAGUGAAAAAGAACCUGAAACCGUGUACGUACAAGCAGUGGGAGCACCUUCGGGUGUGACUGCGUACCUUUUGUAUAAUGGGUCAGCGACUUAUAUUCUGUAGCAAGGUUAACCGUAUAGGGGAGCCGCAGGGAAACCGAGUCUUAACUGGGCGUUAAGUUGCAGGGUAUAGACCCGAAACCCGGUGAUCUAGCCAUGGGCAGGUUGAAGGUUGGGUAACACUAACUGGAGGACCGAACCGACUAAUGUUGAAAAAUUAGCGGAUGACUUGUGGCUGGGGGUGAAAGGCCAAUCAAACCGGGAGAUAGCUGGUUCUCCCCGAAAGCUAUUUAGGUAGCGCCUCGUGAACUCAUCUUCGGGGGUAGAGCACUGUUUCGGCUAGGGGGUCAUCCCGACUUACCAACCCGAUGCAAACUACGAAUACCGAAGAAUGUUAUCACGGGAGACACACGGCGGGUGCUAACGUCCGUCGUGAAGAGGGAAACAACCCAGACCGCCAGCUAAGGUCCCAAAGUCAUGGUUAAGUGGGAAACGAUGUGGGAAGGCACAGACAGCCAGGAUGUUGGCUUAGAAGCAGCCAUCAUUUAAAGAAAGCGUAAUAGCUCACUGGUCGAGUCGGCCUGCGCGGAAGAUGUAACGGGGCUAAACCAUGCACCGAAGCUGCGGCAGCGACACUAUGUGUUGUUGGGUAGGGGAGCGUUCUGUAAGCCUGCGAAGGUGUGCUGUGAGGCAUGCUGGAGGUAUCAGAAGUGCGAAUGCUGACAUAAGUAACGAUAAAGCGGGUGAAAAGCCCGCUCGCCGGAAGACCAAGGGUUCCUGUCCAACGUUAAUCGGGGCAGGGUGAGUCGACCCCUAAGGCGAGGCCGAAAGGCGUAGUCGAUGGGAAACAGGUUAAUAUUCCUGUACUUGGUGUUACUGCGAAGGGGGGACGGAGAAGGCUAUGUUAGCCGGGCGACGGUUGUCCCGGUUUAAGCAUGUAGGCUGAUUGUCCAGGCAAAUCCGGAUAAUCAAGGCUGAGGUGUGAUGACGAGGCACUACGGUGCUGAAGUAACAAAUGCCCUGCUUCCAGGAAAAGCCUCUAAGCAUCAGGUAACAUUAAAUCGUACCCCAAACCGACACAGGUGGUCAGGUAGAGAAUACCAAGGCGCUUGAGAGAACUCGGGUGAAGGAACUAGGCAAAAUGGUGCCGUAACUUCGGGAGAAGGCACGCUGGUGUGUAGGUGAAGUCCCUGCGGAUGGAGCUGAGACCAGUCGAAGAUACCAGCUGGCUGCAACUGUUUAUUAAAAACACAGCACUGUGCAAACACGAAAGUGGACGUAUACGGUGUGACGCCUGCCCGGUGCCGGAAGGUUAAUUGAUGGGGUUAUCCGUAAGGAGAAGCUCUUGAUCGAAGCCCCGGUAAACGGCGGCCGUAACUAUAACGGUCCUAAGGUAGCGAAAUUCCUUGUCGGGUAAGUUCCGACCUGCACGAAUGGCGUAAUGAUGGCCAGGCUGUCUCCACCCGAGACUCAGUGAAAUUGAACUCGCUGUGAAGAUGCAGUGUACCCGCGGCAAGACGGAAAGACCCCGUGAACCUUUACUAUAGCUUGACACUGAACAUUGAGCCUUGAUGUGUAGGAUAGGUGGGAGGCUUUGAAGCGUGGACGCCAGUCUGCGUGGAGCCAACCUUGAAAUACCACCCUUUAAUGUUUGAUGUUCUAACGUUGGCCCCUUACCGGGGUUGCGGACAGUGUCUGGUGGGUAGUUUGACUGGGGCGGUCUCCUCCCAAAGCGUAACGGAGGAGCACGAAGGUUAGCUAAUCCUGGUCGGACAUCAGGAGGUUAGUGCAAUGGCAUAAGCUAGCUUGACUGCGAGCGUGACGGCGCGAGCAGGUGCGAAAGCAGGUCAUAGUGAUCCGGUGGUUCUGAAUGGAAGGGCCAUCGCUCAACGGAUAAAAGGUACUCCGGGGAUAACAGGCUGAUACCGCCCAAGAGUUCAUAUCGACGGCGGUGUUUGGCACCUCGAUGUCGGCUCAUCACAUCCUGGGGCUGAAGUAGGUCCCAAGGGUAUGGCUGUUCGCCAUUUAAAGUGGUACGCGAGCUGGGUUUAGAACGUCGUGAGACAGUUCGGUCCCUAUCUGCCGUGGGCGCUGGAGAAUUGAGGGGGGCUGCUCCUAGUACGAGAGGACCGGAGUGGACGCAUCACUGGUGUUCGGGUUGUCAUGCCAAUGGCACUGCCCGGUAGCUAAAUGCGGAAGAGAUAAGUGCUGAAAGCAUCUAAGCACGAAACUUGCCCCGAGAUGAGUUCUCCCUGAGACUUUAAGUCUCCUGAAGGAACGUUGAAGACGACGACGUUGAUAGGCCGGGUGUGUAAGCGCAGCGAUGCGUUGAGCUAACCGGUACUAAUGAACCGUGAGGCUUAACCUU